rnacentral:rRNA from 1 species
AUGGUAUAAUAAAAUCGGAGGCCACGACUGUUUACUAAAAACACAAUUCAGAGCAAUUAUUAAGAUAAUAGUAUUCUGAAUGAAAUUUGCUCAAUGCCAUUAAUAUAAAAGAGGUAAUUUUAAAGUUACUAAUUGAAAGUCUGGUUAAUAGCGGUCUUAACUAUGAGGAUCCUAAGGUAGCAAAAUAAAUUGGCCAUUAAAUGUGGUCUAGUAUCAAUAAUGUAACGAUGGUCUCACUGUCUCUACAACUUGCUCAGUGAAAUUGAAUUGCGAGUGCAGAUGCUC